rnacentral:lncRNA from 1 species
CCUGAUGGCAGCAGGGAAGAAGAAGGCCUGGCUAGAUAACAGGUCAAGCCUGAAGGCAGCAGGGAAGAAGAAGGCCUGGCUAGAUAACAGGUCAAGCCUGAUGGCAGCAGGGAAGAAGAAGGCCUGGCUAGAUAACAGGUCAAGCCUGAUGGCAGCAGGGAAGAAGAAGGCCUGGCUAGAUAACAGGUCAAGCCUGAUGGCAGCAGGGAAGAAGAAGGCCUGGCUAGAUAACAGGUCAAGCCUGAUGGCAGCAGGGAAGAAGAAGGCCUGGCUAGAUAACAGGUCAAGCCUGAUGGCAGCAGGGAAGAAGGCCUGGCUAGAUAACAGGUCAAGCCUGAAGGCAGCAGGGAAGAAGAAGGCCUGGCUAGAUAACAGGUCAAGCCUAAUGGCAGCAGGGAAGAAGAAGGCCUGGCUAGAUAACAGGUCAAGCCUGAUGGCAGCAGGGAAGAAGGCCUGGCUAGAUAACAGGUCAAGCCUGAUGGCAGCAGGGAAGAAGGCCUGGCUAGAUAACAGGUCAAGCCUGAUGGCAGCAGGGAAGAAGAAGGCC